CUCCGCCAUUUCCAGCUCACAUCCAGCUCUGCGCCCCAGGGAGACUGUGGCCCGGAUCCUGGAGAGCUUCUUCUUCGAAGAAGGCCCAAUUCAAGCAACUUGAAAGUGUUCAAUGAGCAUUGUCCACAUGCUGCUAUGUGAAAUUGCUAUUGCUGCUGCAACCUCUGAUGGCCUGAAUUCCAAGAAGUCAAUUCCUGCAUUCAAUUCCCACCCACCACAAACAUCAGCCCCUCUUUCAUAAUACUGGUGCAAUUGCAGAGAAAUUAUAACAUAUAGCAGAAAAUGCAGUACCUUUAGCAGUGGUCAAAAUGAGUUGGGAUGAUCUCAAGAUUGAAGCUCUGAGA